CAGUAGCCGCGGGAAUACAGAGGAUGCAAGCGUUAUCCGGAAUGAUUGGGCGUAAAGCGUCUGUAGGUGGCUUUUCAAGUCCGCCGUCAAAUCCCAGGGCUCAACCCUGGACGGGCGGUGGAAACUACCAAGCUGGAGUACGGUAGAGGCAGAGGGAAUUUCCAGUGGAGCGGUGAAAUGCGUUGAGAUCGGAAAGAACACCAACGGCGAAAGCACUCUGCUGGGCCGACACUGACACUGAGAGACGAAAGCUAGGGGAGCAAAUGGGAUUAGAUACCCCAGUAGUCCCUGUCUCUUAUAC
rnacentral:rRNA from 1 species